AUUUGACCGUUGCUCGGUAUUGAUUUUUACCUCCAGGAUUUAAAGCAUAAUGGGACUCUUUAUGCACAUUCUUUGCUCGAUCUGGAUAUUCAGAAAAUCCAGAGUACCAACCUUUGGCUGCCUUUGGUAGAACCAAGCGGAAAGUCAUCUGUUUCCCUCAAGGACUCUAGCUUGUUUGGAGUAUCUCUGUCGGACUGUGUCAAGGCUGACUUCAGCUCAUCUGCUUUGAGGUGCAAGGUUUUCAAAACUCCAAGGGAGGAGCCCUUUACCAAAAAGGAGUUGGAUGAGGUUCGAGACAAGUGGGCUAUUUACUUCAACGAUUGUGAACUACCCUCAGUGUAAUAAAUAGAGCAGAUUUGUAGUUAUUCGUGACUCUUACAUUAUUUUGUUAUUUAUCGAUUUAAUUAAUUACAUUUGAAUUAAUUCGGUAAUAUUAUUGGAAAUUUGAAAUUUAUAUCA